UUUUUGACGGUUACCGGUAACGGAAAUGAACAUAAUCCGGAAAUCGUAAAUUUUGCAAAAUAAAAAAAAUCAGGGCGGGACGAUUUCAGAGGGGCGGGCGGGGAUGAAAAUCUGUCAAUUAAUUUUAAUUGGCCUUAAUCUUCAUAUGGGUAAGAGAUUUAGUUAUUUAUUUCAAAUAUAUAAAAACCUUACUUAUGAAUAAAUAAAGGCAAAUCCCACAAAUAAUCCAAAUGGAUAAAUAAAAAAAUAAUAAACUGGCCUAAUAUCAAACUGUUCAGAUAUAUAAAACAGUAAAUGCAUCAGUCAUACAAAUAUUCAAUACUAUCUUAAAUAAGAAGAAAAAAGAACCAAAACACAUCAAUCAUUUAUUUUGUAAUAUUAAUUUAGAAUAAAAAAAAUACCAUUAGAUGGAAUGUUUAAAUAUUAAUGCGAAAGUGAUUUGUGAAAUUUAUCUAAAUACCAACAUCUUUAUGGUCAGAUGUUGACUAAUGUGAAGCAAUGGUUUUGCUUUUUUUUUAUUUUCUUUCUUGCAUCUAUUUUUUUCAAAUUUUCUAUUUUGUGAUUAUUUUUCAUCUUUAGUUAUUAGACUAAGACAAGGUUUAUAGAUGACUAGGCAAGAAACUCCUUCUAAUUUCUGAACCACAGAUAACCUAUAAAUACCAUCUCAUUUUGACUUAAUUUUUUUAUCUCAAACUUUUUUUGAAUCAUAAUAAAGAAGUCCACCUCCAUGACUUACAAGAAGGAUUAGAAAAUUUUGAAAUUAUUUGGUUUGUUCUUUCAAUUCUCAUGCCUUGAAAUUCACAUAAAAUAUAUUCACCAAUGUCAUACAUAUUACUUAAAAUUUCAUGGUAUAAUAUAAUAUGUACAAAACAGAUUAACAAUUACAUUAAUAAAAUAAAACUCUAACAAAAACAGUUGUGUAAAGUACAGAUAAGAUAGAAGAGGCAUUCUUAUGAAAAACAGCCAGAAUUCAAUGUUCUCUCUAAAAAAAAAACCUGUUACUGGGUUGUGUUUUAAAAACCAAUCUCAAGUUUUUUUUUAUGAAUGAGUUAUACCAUGCAAGUUGACCUAGUCUUUCAGUACUAAGUGUCAUUGUAACUGUGAAAAAAAACCAUUAACA
rnacentral:lncRNA from 1 species